rnacentral:rRNA from 1 species
AUGGCUUCAUCCGGUUCCAUGACGAGGCCACCGUAUGCUCACCAAGAAGACAUGCCACACAAGUGGAAGGACGCGUCUUUGGACAAGGUGAAGGAGAAAGAUGGGAAGAUUCUGCCAUGUUGGUGUGGAGAUGUUUGUAAGGUGAAGGAGUCCACCGACCGAAAGAAGUCAUGGACCGAAGGAAGGAGAUAUUUUGUUCGCCCCAAUUAUGCUUACGAUCAUGCUCUUCCAACUAAUGCCUAUGACCUUCCACCGGUAUGCUAG